rnacentral:rRNA from 1 species
GGAUUAGAUACCCUGGUAGUCCACGCUGUAAACGAUGUCAACUAGCUGUUGGUCAUAUGAAUAUGAUUGGUAGCGUAGCUAACGCGCUAAGUUGACCGCCUGGGGAGUACGGUCGCAAGAUUAAAACUCAAAGGAAUUGACGGGGGCCCGCACAAGCGGUGGAGCAUGUGGUUUAAUUCGAUGCAACGCGAAGAACCUUACCUACCCUUGACAUACAGCGAACCUUGUAGAGAUACGAGGGUGCCUUCGGGAGCGCUGAUACAGGUGCUGCAUGGCCGUCGUCAGCUCGUGUCGUGAGAUGUUGGGUUAAGUCCCGUAACGAGCGCAACCCUUGUCCUUGAUUGCCAGCAUUAAGUUGGGGACUUCAAGGAGACUGCCGGUGACAAG